rnacentral:rRNA from 1 species
AAAAACUGAGGUGGUAUACGAUGGUUCCGCGUCUGAUUAGCUAGUUGGUGGGGUAAAAGCCUACCAAGGCAACGAUCAGUAGCCGGCCUGAGAGGGUGAACGGCCACAUUGGGACUGAGACACGGCCCAAACUCCUACGGGAGGCAGCAGUGGGGAAUAUUGCACAAUGGGGGAAACCCUGAUGCAGCGACGCCGCGUGAGUGAAGAAGUAUUUCGGUAUGUAAAGCUCUAUCAGCAGGGAAGAAAUACUGACCAUAGGGUCAGCAGACGGUACUUGACUAAGAAGCCCCGGCUAACUACGUGCCAGCAGCCGCGGUAAUACGUAGGGGGCAAGCGUUAUCCGGAUUUACUGGGUGUAAAGGGAGCGUAGACGGCAGCGCAAGUCUGAAGUGAAAUGCCAGGGCUUAACCCUGGAACUGCUUUGGAAACUGUGCAGCUAGAGUGCAGGAGAAGUAAGUGGAAUUUCUAGUGUAGCGGUGAAAUGCGUAGAUAUUAGGAGGAACACCAGUGGCGAAGGCGGCUUACUGGACUGUAACUGACGUUGAGGCUCGAAAGCGUGGGGAGCAAACAGGAUUAGAUACCCUGGUAGUCCACGCUGUAAACGAUGAUUACUAGGUGUUGGGGGACCAAGGUUCUUCG